GGCGGCUGAAGAGGAUGCUUCUCUCCCACGAUGGUCGCCAUGGGACUCCGCCAAUUGAAAGGAAUGGAGAGAAUGAAUAAGCUAAGCAGCAGGCGAACCAAGAGUCCUGUCUGAUUCAAGAGACAUCUUGAAUGCCAUGGUCAGAAAGACACCAGGCUCACUUCUGUCCUCAUAUGCAAAUCCUGCUGACAUCAACAUCUGAGGCCUGUGAGCACUUCAGGGAAAAGGAGAGGAAGGAAGUAUCCUUAGUGGGCUUUUUCGUGAAAUGAGGAAGAUUACGUGACUGUUUUUUUCCUGUGGAAGAAGACUGUAGAUUUAACACUGCUGACUUUACUCAUUCAAAG